GCGGAGCGGGGCGCGAGGUGCGGGGAGACGGCUGCAGGGGCUCCCGCCGGCCCGGCAGCAGCGCCGCGGCCGCGCGAGGCGUUUGGUGUCGGCUGCGGGCCGUCCCGCCAGGGCCCUCUGACGUGCUGCGUGUGCACAGGUGGCUGCGCGGUGCCCGUCAGUGCGCCGCCCGUGGCGGGGUCUGUGUUCGGGGACGGGUGUGUUUGUGGCUGCAGUUGCCGCAGUUCGUCCCGGCCCUCCAGACCUCCCCAGCCCCACUCUCGGCCUCGUGGUCCUGGCACGACCGCUGCUUCUGCCCCGGAUGCUUCCUCUGGGCUCCGCCCCCAGCACGUCCACGUCACGCCUGCUGCCUUAGUCCUGCAGAAAUCCUGCGCUUUGGAUUUGUGUCACCUUCUGUAAGUUGAAAGCUUCUGGACCAAGUGCGGCAGUGAGAUGGAGUCAGAAGAGGAGGUAUUGCCAUCAGAGAGUCAGCAAAGGUGGUUGACCAAGCCCAAAGGAGGGUGCUGAGGGGAGUUGAUGACCUGGACUUUUUCAUAGGGGAUGAAGCCAUAGAUAAACCCACGUAUGCCACAAAGUGGCCAAUAAGACAUGGAAUAAUUGAAGACUGAGAUCUAAUGGAGAGGUUCAUGGAACAAGUUAUUUUUAAUUUUCCCUGAGUUGAACCUGAGGGCCAUCAAUUUUUGAUGGUGAGUAACUGGGACUGAGAGAAGAGCCCUGUGGAUUCUGGGUUGCUUAGAUUUUAAACCCAGGAUAUUCUUCUCUGGGGAGUUUUUAAUUCCCGCUAAAGCUCUUUGUAUGAGUUGGAGUGCUUUUUGGGCAAAUAACAGAAGGUUCAACCAAAAUGUCCAAAACCAAAGAGGGCUUAUUAUCCCACAAAACAGGAUGCCAGGGUCAGGCCACUCAGGACUGGUUACUUGAGCAGCUGAGAGAUGGAGGUGAGAACCCAGCCUAAUUCACUUGUUUGGCCUCUUGUGCUGGUUCCCCUCAGGCCCCAGGGUGGCUGCCCGAGUUCCUGUACUGACUCUUGGUGUAUUUACUUUCAGAGUUUUCGAAUUAAGACUCUCUUCCUCAGAAAACUUCCUAGCAGAUUUGCCCUGUCUGUCCAUGCCCAGUGUGGGCCCUAGAGGGGAACAAAAUUACUUUGGUACAUUUUGAUGAGUCAAGAUUCUCUCCUGUUGCUGGUGAGGGGACCACAUCUCAUCACCUGGCCCCAAGAGAGAUGUUAGUGCUGUCCUGUGACCUCACUGAUCCUGGAUUACCCCUCUAGGGGCUUCAUCUCCAAACACAGUCACCUGAGUGUUGCAGCUUCAGCAUAAGAGUUUUGGGACACACAGCUCAGUAUAUAACAAAGGACAGAACCUCCUCUGAAUACACCAGAAAAUAGAGAAUAUCUUGCAGAAAUUAUGUUCAAAUUAUUUAAUGUACCAGGACUCUACUUUGCAGUUCAGGACGUUGCAGAGAUGAUGUACUAAUGCUGGUGCUUUAAUACCUCAAAGUUCAGAAAUCACUGCAGGGGGAGGCUGAUGUGUCUACAAUCAGGAGGAAAAAGCCAAAUCUUUCCCCUCUGUCAUUGCACCCUGCCAGUGUCCCCUUUGCCCGGGGGUGAGAAGAGGCAGGAGGCCUGCAGAGCAUGCUCUGUGCUCGCAGCCCCUUCAUCCAGUCUCAGAACACUGCCCCCUCCUGGGUGUGAGGUGUUUAGGUGCCACUUGCUGUGUGGUCCUGCCUGGCUCCUCUCUGAGGUCACGUCCUCAGAGGUCAGUGCAGGCCAAGGUCAGGGUCUGUGCCUGUGGGUCUGCUUCCUGGCCUCCCCUGUGCAUCUGAAACAAGUUUCACACUACGUGCAGGCCCACAGAGAAAGUUGUUGUUCAAAUUUUUCUCUGUUUCUUAAUGCAGUUUUUUUCCCCCUAUUUAUAAAAAUUUCAUUUACUGUACAAAAUUUAGGUAAAAUGGAGAAAUGUAAAGAAGAAAAUAGAAUGACCCACAAACCUGCCCAGAGGACUGUGCCACACUUUUUUGGUAUAGUCUACUGAGCUCUUUUUCUUAGACACACGAUACACAUUUUAAGCACAGUUGGGAUACCCUCCAUCUGAUUUCAUGUUCUAAUUGUACAAUGUGCUCCUGAGGUUGUAUUUUGCAUAUUGACUUAUCCCUGAUGUAUCUUUAUGGUUAAAUACUCUGUGGAAAGAUAUUUAGUAACUACCUGACAGCCCAUCAUGUGGGUGUAGCACAACUCACUUACUUGUUUUCCUACCAUUGGCUGUGGGUUGUUUUAAUAUAUUUAAUCUGUGAUGAAGCUGAUACUCAACAUGGGUUGAAUUAAUUUUAGAAAAUGUUAUAUGUAAUGUAUUGACUAUAGAAAUUGUGAAUAGUUUCUGUUUGCGAGAGCUACUGUUCUUAUGACUUUUUUAUUUUAAUAAUGUGUACAUAUCUUUUAUCUUGAUCUUAAAUAUUUUACAAUUGGCUUGGGCUCCUGAGAAAGGCUACACACUCUCUCACUUCUAGAAGUUGGGCACCUCAGAAGACAUAAGAGGAAUUCAGUCACCUGUUCUUGUAACUUCAGUGGUAACUGUGCUUGUACAUAGUGGAACUGAUCCAUCUGUCAGAUGGAUGAGGAUUUGCUCCAGCCUUCUGUCUCCAUGAGUGUGUGACAAGCAACCAGUGCCAUCAGGGAGCUCAGAGUGCCUCCUCUACCUGGUGCAGGUGGAAGGUUAGGUAAUUGGAAGCUGCAUCAAACACAUCCCUAUUGCAGGUAGAGAUAUGAAUUUCAUUCAACAGCUGCCAAGGGAGAGGGAGGUGGGAAUCCCUCCUGAGCAACCACUGGAGACCGCAAAAGCCAUUAAGGAGAAGUACUGUCACAUUUGCCCCAAUAUAGUCAAGAAGUUUGCCAAGUAUGACGUGGAUCAGCGGAAGUGGAUCAAACAGCAAACAGGGAACAAUGCCAUAAGCCAGAAGAAAAUCAUUAUCGAUGUUGGCUAGGAAAGUUUCCCAGGCCCUGAAAUUUUCCUUCACCCAGAGAUACUGAUUAACAUGCCAAGUAUAAUGCCUGGCCCAGGAAGCUCAGGAGAUGAAUCAAAUAACUUUACCAUGAAGGAGCACUGAGGAGGAGGCAGAGAUGAUCUCUGGCAUGGGUAUUAUAAUAGGCGUACUACAAGGCUCAGAGGCAGUGCAGAGGAAGAAAUGAGGAGCUCUUGGAAGUGGUGGGGAGAGGGCAAGUGUUUGGAAUGUUCUUUAAGAAUAGGUACACUUGAACUGACUCUUAAAAGAUGGGCAGGUGUUUGACAAGGCAAUGUGAACACCACAGAUAGAGGGGAGUGAAGCCACCUGGAAUCCUUCCUCUCUGCACUGCAAACAGUUUGGGAUGGUUGGUGCAUAUGCCACGUGACUGUGCACAUUCUGUCCAUGUUGUGUGCACUGAUGAUUUAGAAAUGACAGAAGGGCAAGUGGUGAAGCUGGAGAGUUGCAGAAGCACACAGAGGAAGACUGCCUUACAUGGUUCUUCAAGGUAUUUGGACAUGAUCCUGUGGCAAAGCAAGUCAUUACAUGAUUAUUAAACUAAGCAGUAUUGGUGUGGAAUUUGCCUUCCACAACAAUUAUUUUCCUGCAAUGUGGAUGACAAAUUUGGGAAGUGGAAGAAGGGAAAGAAUACAAACUGAACUGCUGGUUGGAAGACAAUUAUCAGUGGUCCUGGAAAGACUCAAGGCAAUCAAGAAGCUGUGAAGGAAGGGUGCUGAAGGGAGGGACCUUAAGGAUAUGGCCUCUGGACAAACUGAUUAUUAUUGUUUAAGGAAUAGUUUAGUGGGGAGCAAAGCAAAGACAAGCACAAAAUGUGUUCUAAGUCUUUUGGGGUUAUGUAAUUGGGUAAAUGGUAUUGAUAUUUGCAAUAUAUCCAUAUAUAUAUAUGGAAUCAAAAAAUUAGUCACAAGUUUCUGGGAGAAAAAGUAUCUUCGGCACCCUAACUCCAGGUCCUCUGUUUUUCUAUGAGGCAGGAAGCACAGGUGAUGUUAUCCCUAUUUUAUGUCCAAAGGGGUAAACAUUUGGCCUACUAUCACAUGCAGCAGGUUGGGAAGUUUACUCUCUACUAGGCUUAAGAACAGGUAAACAAGGGAGACAAGAACCAUGCUUUCACAGAACUUAUAUUCUUGUGUUUGUGUUGGGGGGAACAGAAUAUGAACAAGUCAGCAAGCAAUGAACCCAGGUCUGAAGGACUAUGAUGGUAGCAGGCAGUGGUACUUUAUCUAGAUAUUAGGGAAAGUAUCCCUGAGGUCACACUGGAGCUGACCUUCCAUUGAGAAGGAAGCAGUCAUUCAGAUUCUUAGGGGAAGAAUGUUCUAGGCAGAGAACAGCAAUUGAGAAGAGAAGUCCCUGAGGUCGAAACAAGUUUGCUGCACCCUGAGGGAGGAAUUCCAAUUACAGAGCAAUUGAAGAGCUGGGGAAAUUCCUAGUUCCAAUGGCAUUCCUGGGAAGGUGAAAGUGAAAGGCUUGUGACGCCUUAGGGUAAAUACCUAGUACAAAUACUCUUGGGGAGGGCUGGGAACCUGCCCACCGUGCACAACACUAUGCCUCUAGAAACUGCAUCAUGACUCACAAAUGCUUUUGGAAGAUAAGCCCUUGCUCAGUUGCCUAUUUUGGUACCUCAUUUAACUAAAACUCAUUUAGGUUUGCCUACAGAGAUGAACUUAAAAAUCUUUAGAUGAAUGGAAUUCAUCUUAAAUUUAUCAGCUCAGAACAAGAAACCACCUAGAGUCCAAUGGCAGGCAGCUCUUCCCUCGAGGCUCAGUCAUGCCUUAACAUGUUACAUGGGAACAGAGCCUCCCAGCCAACUUCCAAACCCCUAAAAGAGACAAGAGAGGCAACAUUUUCCCCAAAGGAUGCCCCGUUAGCUCAGCUGGACAGGACAAGGAGAAAUGGUACCCCACUGCCAAGGUGCCAAGCUGGGUUCUUGUCUAUGUGAACCUGGAAUGCCUUGGAGAGAUGGGACAUUGGGGCUGCCUGCUGGCUCUGAGAUGGGCCAUCCCAAGCACAGUCCUGCCUGCUCUCUGGAACACACUGCUCACACCUCUCAUCCUGUGGUCAUCCUCCACUGCUACUUUGUGGGCUACCUAUUCUUCUGCCAACAGUGUUUCUUAUGCCACCCCAUUCAGCCAAAUGGCUUCAAAUUCAAAUUCUCACUACAGGUAAUGCAGAUCAACACUCUGACCCUCUCUGAAAAGAUCCUACUUUACAGCCAAUUUUCUCAGAUAUCUCUGCUUGGUGUAUCAAAAAAAAAUAUGUGAAUUUAAUAUUUAUCAAUAUAGCAUGAAUAAAUUAUGAAAUAAUUAGAUUAUUCCUAAGUUAUGUAGCCCCUUUCAGAGUAUCAUAUUGAGAAGUUAUAUAUCACGGGCACUUAUUUUAAAGACAGCCCCAAACCAUGAAAUGCAUUCUUUGGAGUGGUGCUGGAGACUGUGGCAUGUUUUGGUCCAUGCCAAGGGCAGGCUCACCUUGUGUCUGAGCUCAUUUCAAACCAUAUGCUCUUAACAUCUCUUUCCUUCAACUGACUGGUCAAUUUUUUGUUCCUAAAAUCACCAUUCAACCUUGGAUCAUAAGAUGUUCGCACAUAGUUUCACAGCACCGGUAUGUCUCCUUCCUAACAACUUUAAUAAUGGCAAUUUUUCAUUUAUUUUCAGUGAUUGAUUCACCUGUCUCCCUCAGUAACUGCGACUUCCACAGCAGCAGGGACAAUGUGCAUUUCUGCUUACCAAUAUGUCCCCAGAAACUAGCAUAGCUUCUGGGACACAGUAGGGGCUUAACAACUAGCCACUGGGGGAAAGAUGCUAUGGAAUAUACUCAUUGGUGGAAAUGUUUCUGCUUCUAAGAGUGGAUCUGCCAAAAAUCAUUCAAAUCAAGGCUAAAUAAGGUUAAGGCUCAGCUAUGCUGUAUUUUUCUUUAAAAAAAUACAAGAAAGACUUUGCUGCUAUUUGGGUUUAAACUGAUUUUGGAGACAAUUAUCAAAAGGUUUGACUAACAAUUUAACAACACUCAUUUGGAUAUGUAUGGCGAUGACCAAUUUUAAAACUUUUUUUUUUUAAUGGAAUAAGAGUUCAUUUUCAAGAAGGUUCACCCAGAUUAGGCCAAAUUUAAAAAGAUAAGAAAAACUACCACUUAAUUUGUCAGGCGCUCUCUCUCUAUUAUUUUCAUUUAAUCCUCAUAUCUGAAUCUUACCCCAGGUCACAGAUGAAGAAAUGGAGGGAGCAAGAGGCUGGGGUUAGACACUGACUAAGAGGCAGAGCCAGGAUUCACAUCUAGGUCUAUUUGAUUCCAAGAGCUAUGUCUUAAACCUAAGCCAAACUUUAAGCUAAUAAAUAAAUGCUGACAUUGAAUAAUAA